rnacentral:rRNA from 1 species
UACGUAGGGGGCAAGCGUUGUCCGGAUUUAUUGGGCGUAAAGAGCGUGUAGGCGGCCGUACAGGUCAGCUGUGAAAACUCGAGGCUCAACCUCGAGACGUCGGUUGAAACCGUACGGCUAGAGUCCGGAAGAGGAGAGUGGAAUUCCCGGUGUAGCGGUGAAAUGCGCAGAUAUCGGGAAGAACACCCGUGGCGAAGGCGGCUUCCUGGACAAUUGCUGACGCUCAGGCACGAAAGCGUGGGGAGCAAAAGGG